rnacentral:rRNA from 1 species
GUGGGGAAUAUUGCGCAAUGGGGGAAACCCUGACGCAGCGACGCCGUGUGAGGGAAGAAGGCUUUCGGGUCGUAAACCUCUGUCAGAAAGGAAGAACCUCCCAAGUCCGAAUAGGGCUUGGGACUGACGGUACUUUCAAAGGAAGCACCGGCUAACUCCGUGCCAGCAACCGCGGUAAUACGGAGGGUGCAAGCGUUAAUCGGAAUCACUGGGCGUAAAGCGCGCGUAGGCCGCUUUGUAAGUCGGACGUGAAAGCCCUCGGCUCAACCGGGGAACUGCGUUCGAUACUGCGAGGCUUGAGUCCUGGAGAGGGUGGCGGAAUUCCGGGUGUAGGAGUGAAAUCCGUAGAUAUCCGGAGGAACACCGGUGGCGAAGGCGGCCACCUGGACAGGUACUGACGCUGAGGCGCGAAAGCGUGGGGAGCAAACAGGAUUAGAAACCCGUGUAGUCC